CCCCCCCCCCCCCCCCCCCCCCCCCCCCCCCCCCCCCCCCCCCCCCCCCCCCCCCCCCCUCUUCCGAUCUAAAUAACCCCUGAUCCUAAAUAACCUCCUGACCCUAAAUAACCCAUGACCCUAUGGGAACCCCUGGGACCCCCUGAUCCUACAGGACACUGCGACCCUAUAGAACCCCAUGGCAAAAUGGGACUCCCCCUGACCCUAAAUAACCCCCUGACCCUAAAUAACCCCCGACCCUAAAUAACCCCCUGACCCCACAGGACCCCCCUGACCCCACAAGGACUCCCUGCCCCUACAGGAGCUUGUGGCCCCAAACAUUCCCCUGACCCCGUUCCCACCCUAUUGAUCCCCCGUAUUGAUCAGCAGCGAUUGGCGAUCGAUCGCCGAUAUCCGCCCUGGGUUAUCGAUCCCUGCUCGCCAGUCCCGGGGUGUCGGCCCUCGGUUAUUGAUCCCCAUUUCCGGAUCCCCCGUUAUCAAUUCCCGUUAUCAAUCCCCGUUAUCAAUCCGCUUUAUCAACCCCCCGUUAUCAAACCCCGUUUAUUGAUAACCCCUUAUCAAUCCCCGUUAUCGAUCCCCGUUAUCAAACCACGUUUAUUGAUAACCCCGUAUCAAUCCCCGUUAUCAACCCCCGUUAUCAAUCCCCUGUUAUCAAACCCCGUUAUCGAUCCCGGUUAUAAAUUCCCAUUACUGAUUCCCUUUAUUAAUCCCCUGCUAUCAAUCCCUGUUAUGGAUCCCCCUUAUCAAUCCCUGUUAUCGAUCCCUGCCCCAUCGAUUCUCUCUGUGCUCUCC
rnacentral:lncRNA from 12 species